AUUGAACGCUGGCGGCAGGCCUAACACAUGCAAGUCGAGCGGAUGAAGGGAGCUUGCUCCUGGAUUCAGCGGCGGACGGGUGAGUAAUGCCUAGGAAUCUGCCUGGUAGUGGGGGAUAACGUCCGGAAACGGGCGCUAAUAACGCAUACGUCCUGUGGGAGAAAGUGGGGGAUCUUCGGACAUCACUCUAUCAGAUGAGCCUAGGUCGGAUUAGCUAGUUGGUGGGGUAAAGGCCUACCAAGGCGACGAUCCGUAACUGGUCUGAGAGGAUGAUCAGUCACACUGGAACUGAGACACGGUCCAGACUCCUACGGGAGGCAGCAGUGUGGAAUAUUGGACAAUGGGCGAAAGCCUGAUCCAGCCAUGCCGCGUGUGUGAAGAAGGUCUUCGGAUUGUAAAGCACUUUAAGUUGGGAGGAAGGGCAGUAAGUUAAUACCUUGCUGUUUUGACGUUACCAACAGAAUAAGCACCGGCUAACUUCGUG
rnacentral:rRNA from 1 species